GUUGUUCGGAAUUACUGGGCGUAAAGCGCACGUAGGCGGGUAUUUAAGUCAGGGGUGAAAUCCCAGAGCUCAACUCUGGAACUGCCUUUGAUACUGGGUACCUAGAGUAUGGAAGAGGUGAGUGGAAUUCCGAGUGUAGAGGUGAAAUUCGUAGAUAUUCGGAGGAACACCAGUGGCGAAGGCGGCUCACUGGUCCAUUACUGACGCUGAGGUGCGAAAGCGUGGGGAGCAAACA
rnacentral:rRNA from 1 species